UUGACCUCGGAUCAGGUAGGGAUACCCGCUGAACUUAAGCAUAUCAAUAAGCGGAGGAAAAGAAACCAACAGGGAUUGCCUUAGUAACGGCGAGUGAAGCGGCAACAGCUCAAAUUUGAAAGCUGGCUCCUUCGGAGUCCGCGUUGUAAUUUGUAGAGGAUGAUUCGGCGAGGGCUCCCGCCUAAGUCCCCUGGAACGGGGCGUCAUAGAGGGUGAGAAUCCCGUAUGCGGUGGGUUGCCUUAGCCAUGUGAAUCUCCUUCGACGAGUCGAGUUGUUUGGGAAUGCAGCUCUAAAUGGGAGGUAAAUUUCUUCUAAAGCUAAAUACCGGCCAGAGACCGAUAGCGCACAAGUAGAGUGAUCGAAAGAUGAAAAGCACUUUGGAAAGAGAGUUAAAAAGUACGUGAAAUUGUUGAAAGGGAAGCGCUUGCAGCCAGACUUGUCCGCAGUUGCUCAACCGGUCUCCUGACCGGUGUACUCUUCUGCGGCCAGGCCAGCAUCAGUUCGGGCGGUCGGAUAAAGGCCCUGGGAAUGUAGCUCCUCUCGGGGAGUGUUAUAGCCCAGGGUGGAAUGCGGCCAGCCUGGACUG
rnacentral:rRNA from 1 species